AGAAAAUUUAUUCCCCGCUGCCGCUCGUUGCUGCUUCCUCUUCUUCCCCCCUAUUUCCCCAUCUGGCCAUCUCGCCUUCGACGCCACUGGCCCGCCUCCAACCCUAAUCCGCACAAUGGCCUCGUCUUUCUCCCACCCUUGACCAUUUAUGGCGUCUCCAGGCAAGCCUCUCCGUCUUUACGCCUCCUCUCUCCGCACCUUCUAACGGCGCCGUGGGGGCAGAGCUCGGCGGUGACCAAUGUUUGUCCUCAACUGUAGAUCUCUCCGCCGAUGGGGUCAUAGACGGCCUCGUCCCCGCCGUAUUCGACCCCUUCUCCCUUGAGGCCUUGAGGUCGAGGUUUGGUACGGUUUGUUAUGUUUUGCAGGAUCGAUAUAUUGCGCGACCAGGGUCGCCUCAUUGCCUGGACGGACUAUCGUGCUUAGAGCUGCAAAUUUUUGAGAGCGCGGUUGGUAAACAUAUGUUGAACGGCGAAGCUUUUAUUUGUGCUACAGUAUGCGUGUGCCAUGCUUAUAGAUGGAUAUGACCUAUUUAUUCCUCAAUGCAGAUUGGAAAUUGGGGCUCUCCCUCUCUCUCUCUCUCUCUCAAGUAAUUGGAAUUUCACCUGGAGAUUGCUCAUAAUGGACGGGACCAAUUUGUUGCUCAAGAUCUCUCUCAAGUAUUUGGAAUUUCUUAUACAAAUAUUGGGGAUUGGGAAUAUCUCUCCGUCUCUUAAGUGAUUGGAAUUUCAAUCUCAAGUAAUUGGAAUUCUCAUGCAGAUUGUGGGAUGGUUCAUAAUGGAAUGACGCCAAUUUUCAUGGUGGUAUUUUAUUGUCAGGCUUUCAAAGAAAUGUAUACAUCAAAGUGCCAAUAUAACAUCCACUCACCUGGUGUCAGGACUUAUUGGAUGAUGCAAUCUGCCCAGCUGAAGAAUGUAGUUCCAUUCUAUGCGGUAUUUGGUCAAUCUGGACAGUUCGAAAUGAGUUGCUUCCUCCGUUGCAUAAUUCUUGUCUCAAAUUUGCUCAAAAAUGGAUGUAUCUAUUUCUAAAAAGUGUCUAGAUACAUGUAAUAUUUCGACAAGAAUUAUGGAACGGAUGGAGUACAUUCUAUGCGGUAUUUGGUCAAUCUGGACAGUUUGAAAUGCAAGGUGGUACCAAUGAAUUUAAGGCGAGCCUGAAGAUGGGCGAGAGAAACAGUUUCAGACUUAGUGUGUGACAGAAGAAUCAAGAUAUGUGCUUCCAUCAGCAGGCUGCACAAAUGAUUCAAAACAGCCAUCUUUUUUUAUUCCUUCUUUUCUUUUUUUUUUACUCACAAAAGAAAAGGUGCACGUUUCUCUUUGCAUUUCGUGUCGGAAAUGCAUGCAAAAUACUGAUGGAUCUGAUAAAAAAAUUACUGGUGUCCAAGGGGUGCCAAAACUUUCUUUUUCUCCCA